CGAAGGGCCGACGGGGGCGGGGAAAGGACCAGCGGGCGGGGCAACGGUCUGACUGGGGCGUGGCGAGGAGAGGGUGGGCGUGGGGGUUGGUGCGGGUUGGCGAAGGGUGGAGGCAUGUCAGGCCCCGGCCACGCCCCUGCCGGUUUGGGCGGGAGCCGCCCCGGGACCAACUGCCCUCGUUGCUCACACCAAGGAGGCCUUGGCUAGCUCAGCCGGACCCCAAAGCCUGGACCGGGUCUCCACCUCCCCCCCACCCCCGUGCCCACGCCCUCCAUGCCGGCCUCGCCCGGGAGCAGAUCACUGCUGCCUCGCCCCCGCGGCCCACUCGCCCAGCGGGGCGCCUUAUCCGAGAGCCCUCCGGGCCUCAGCUUUAUCACCCGGCACCACCCGGCGUGGUUCUAACCCCGCGCCUUUGCGCUGCGCUGCACACCAGCUUUUUUUUUCUAAGACAGGAUCUCCCUGAGUUGCUCAGCUGCCCAGCCUGGGCUCGAACCUGCAGUCCAGCGCGGAGGCCUGGCCAACCCCUGACUUCCCGUGGCUGGGCCCAGGGUGUCAGCAGAGUCAGCUUCCAGGGAAUCCGACCUCUGGUCUCCCGCCCGAGUCCAGGGCCUUCCUGAGACUCCAGUCUUCGUGCCGAUGUCCCCAGGGCUGUGGUCCCACUGUGGCUGACUCCUUCUCUCCCGGGUCUCAGCCCAAAGCCCACUCCUCAGAAAAAUCCUUCAGUGUUUAGUCUGCUGUACACUUGAGCUCCAGCCCUCUCGAUGGCAAGUCACCCACUCUGUCUGCAGGUUCCUGGAGGGAGACGCUGGUCUCUCCUCUCUCACAACCAGGCGGGUACUCGGGAUUGCUGUGGUCCUAGUGAUGUUGGCAGUCCUUGGAAAGGGGGAGUCACUUUGCUGAGGCCUUGGCCGGCCUGGGCCUGACGCCACCCCCUCCUUUGGCCCCAGCUUGCCCUGGCCAUCUUACCCGGGCCACUUGUCCUCAAGGUCCAGAUGUGCGUGGUGUUGACCUCAGAGAGCCCAAGGCCGGGCCCAGGGCCACAGUGCCAAUGCCACGUGGGUGCCUGACAAGCGCGAGGGCAGAGAUGAAAGGGGGUUGGACGCACGUGGCCAGCCUCGGGACCUUGGUGGGGACAGCGGCCGAGGGAGGGAGAUACGGGUGCCGUCACCCAGAGAAGUCUUGAGAGGCGGCCACAGGAGAAGGGACAGAGUGACCACACUAGGGGUCGAGGGUCCUGCGAAAACCAGCUCGGAGGAUGGCUGCUCGGGAGGCUGAGGCAGGAGGAUUGCAAGUUUGAA
rnacentral:lncRNA from 1 species